UGAUGCUUAUCUUUCAUAAGCUGUUGUGCCAGUAAACUGUUUUUAUUCACUGACUGUAUAUUGAAGAGCAGCAAUGACAACAUUAAUUAAUUCAAUCUUGAUAUUACUAUUUUUAAAUGAUAUUCACUGUCAGACCUUCACUCAGUCUGAAGAUGUGG